rnacentral:rRNA from 1 species
UACGUAGGGGGCAAGCGUUAUCCGGAUUUACUGGGUGUAAAGGGAGCGUAGGUGGUUAGGUAAGUCAGAUGUGAAAGCCCGGGGCUCAACCCCGGGACUGCAUUUGAAACUAUCUAACUAGAGUGCAGGAGAGGUAAGUGGAAUUCCUAGUGUAGCGGUGAAAUGCGUAGAUAUUAGGAGGAACACCAGUGGCGAAGGCGGCUUACUGGACUGUAACUGACACUGAGGCUCGAAAGCGUGGGGAGCAAAC